rnacentral:lncRNA from 1 species
UUUUUUUUUUUUUCUUUUUCCACUAACGAGUUCCUAUUUAGAGCAGUUUACCAACAUAGAACAGAGGUCUAGUGCACAUAUCGUGGUUUGUAAGCUAUUCACUUGAGGUCUUUUUAAAGCAAUGCAUGGUUUUCAAUUCUUGUACUACAAGUAUUAAAAGUAAUGAUUUCAAACAAUGUUUUUCUGUUUUGUUUUUUGAUAACAAUUUUAUUAUUAGCCUGAAGAACACUCUCUUUUAAAAAACCAAGUUCAAUCAUUGUGAACAGAAUAAACGAUCAGCUUUUAGUAAAGUACUUUCUUUUACCUAAAUCUUGUUUUCAAUGUCAAUAUAUAGACUGUCAAAAAGCAAAAUUAUAAAUGUUGUAUUUGCCGAUUCAAACUGCUGUUUAUUUAGGUUUUAGGUUAAAGUUUUUUUUGUAUUAGUGCAAUUUUAAAGUAAUGGUCUCCUGUAUAAGGCUAUUUAUACGUUUACAGUUAGACAAAUGUUCUGUUUUACCGUUUCCUAAAAUGUGCAGUAAGACUGUUUUGCGUGUAUGAUCCAAAACGCAGUUUGUUUCAUUUAAGUGCGUCUUCCUACAUGCUAAUGUGUCGCAAAGACAAAGAAGUGGUGUGGCUCACGUUAUAAUGUCAAACAAACUAUCCUUUUACAAAUCAUUGCCGGCUUCUAAACUUGAUGUCUGUGUAAUAAAGCUCUAAACUAAGAAAAUAAUAGAGCAAUAAGAUUCAGCCAAAGUAAGUAAAAUUCAGUUUAACUAUUAUGUAGACAAGUGAAAUGUUUCAAGUUACAUUUUGUUUCUUGCUAAUCGUUUUUUGUUUUAGCCCUUGCAAUUUUUUUUUCUUCUCGAAUUCUUUAUUAUAUGGUUUUUGUAUGUA